GAUGAACGCUGGCGGCGUGCUUAACACAUGCAAGUCGAACGGUGAAGCAGAGCUUGCUCUGUGGAUCAGUGGCGAACGGGUGAGUAACACGUGAGCAAUCUGCCCCUGACUCUGGGAUAAGCGCUGGAAACGGCGUCUAAUACUGGAUACGAGCCGUGAAGGCAUCUUCAACGGUUGGAAAGAUUUUUCGGUCAGGGAUGAGCUCGCGGCCUAUCAGCUUGUUGGUGAGGUAAUGGCUCACCAAGGCGUCGACGGGUAGCCGGCCUGAGAGGGUGACCGGCCACACUGGGACUGAGACACGGCCCAGACUCCUACGGGAGGCAGCAGUGGGGAAUAUUGCACAAUGGGCGCAAGCCUGAUGCAGCAACGCCGCGUGAGGGAUGACGGCCUUCGGGUUGUAAACCUCUUUUAGCAGGGAAGAAGCGAAAGUGACGGUACCUGCAGAAAAAGCGCCGGCUAACUACGUGCCAGCAGCCGCGGUAAUACGUAGGGCGCAAGCGUUAUCCGGAAUUAUUGGGCGUAAAGAGCUCGUAGGCGGUUUGUCGCGUCUGCUGUGAAAUCCCGAGGCUCAACCUCGGGUCUGCAGUGGGUACGGGCAGACUAGAGUGCGGUAGGGGAGAUUGGAAUUCCUGGUGUAGCGGUGGAAUGCGCAGAUAUCAGGAGGAACACCGAUGGCGAAGGCAGAUCUCUGGGCCGUAACUGACGCUGAGGAGCGAAAGGGUGGGGAGCAAACAGGCUUAGAUACCCUGGUAGUCCACCCCGUAAACGUUGGGAACUAGUUGUGGGGUCCAUUCCACGGAUUCCGUGACGCAGCUAACGCAUUAAGUUCCCCGCCUGGGGAGUACGGCCGCAAGGCUAAAACUCAAAGGAAUUGACGGGGACCCGCACAAGCGGCGGAGCAUGCGGAUUAAUUCGAUGCAACGCGAAGAACCUUACCAAGGCUUGACAUACACGAGAACGCUGCAGAAAUGUAGAACUCUUUGGACACUCGUGAACAGGUGGUGCAUGGUUGUCGUCAGCUCGUGUCGUGAGAUGUUGGGUUAAGUCCCGCAACGAGCGCAACCCUCGUUCUAUGUUGCCAGCACGUAAUGGUGGGAACUCAUGGGAUACUGCCGGGGUCAACUCGGAGGAAGGUGGGGAUGACGUCAAAUCAUCAUGCCCCUUAUGUCUUGGGCUUCACGCAUGCUACAAUGGCCGGUACAAAGGGCUGCGAUACCGUAAGGUGGAGCGAAUCCCAAAAAGCCGGUCCCAGUUCGGAUUGAGGUCUGCAACUCGACCUCAUGAAGUCGGAGUCGCUAGUAAUCGCAGAUCAGCAACGCUGCGGUGAAUACGUUCCCGGGUCU
rnacentral:rRNA from 1 species